UCCUUUGUUGCCAGCGGUCCGGCCGGGAACUCAAAGGAGACUGCCAGUGAUAAACUGGAGGAAGGUGGGGAUGACGUCAAGUCAUCAUGGCCCUUACGACCAGGGCUACACACGUGCUACAAUGGCGCAUACAAAGAGAAGCGACCUCGCGAGAGCAAGCGGACCUCAUAAAGUGCGUCGUAGUCCGGAUUGGAGUCUGCAACUCGACUCCAUGAAGUCGGAAUCGCUAGUAAUCGUGGAUCAGAAUGCCACGGUGAAUACGUUCCCGGGCCUUGUACACACCGCCCGUCACACCAUGGGAGUGGGUUGCAAAAGAAGUAGGUAGCUUAACCUUCGGGAGGGCGCUUACCACUUUGUGAUUCAUGACUGGGGUGAAGUCGUAACAAGGUAACCGUAGGGGAACCUGCGGUUGGAUCAC
rnacentral:rRNA from 2 species